GAUGAACGCUGGCGGCGUGCCUAAUACAUGCAAGUCGAGCGAACGGACGAGACGCUUGCUUCUCUGAUGUUAGCGGCGGACGGGAGUGUAACACGUGGAUACCCUACCUAUCAGACUGGGAUAACUUCGGGAAACCGGAGCUAAUACCGGAUAAUCUUUUGAACCGCAUGGUUCAAAAGUGAAAGACGGUCUUGCUGUCACUUAUAGCUGGAUCCGCGCUGCAUUAGCUAGUUGGUAAGGUAACGGCUUACCAAGGCAACGAUGCAUAGCCGACCUGAGAGGGUGAUCGGCCACACUGGAACGGAGACACGGUCCAGACGCCUACGGGAGGCAGCAGUAGGGAAUCGGCCGCAAUGGGCGAAAGCCUUACGGAGCAACGCCGCGUGAGUGAUGAAGGUCUUCGGAGCGUAAAACUCUGUUAUUAGGGAAGAACAGAUGUGUAAGUAACUGUGCACAGCGUGACGGUACCUAAUCAGAAAGCCACGGCUAACUACGUG
rnacentral:rRNA from 1 species